UACGUAGGGCGCAAGCGUUAUCCGGAAUUAUUGGGCGUAAAGAGCUCGUAGGCGGUUUGUCGCGUCUGCCGUGAAAGUCCGGGGCUCAACUCCGGAUCUGCGGUGGGUACGGGCAGACUAGAGUGAUGUAGGGGAGACUGGAAUUCCCGGUGUAGUGGUGAAAUGCGUAGAUAUCGGGAGGAACACCAGUGGCGAAGGCGACUACCUGGCCUGUUCUUGACGCUGAGGCGCGAAAGCUAGGGGAGCAAACGGG
rnacentral:rRNA from 1 species